UCAAGUAUUUUGUCGAAGGACUAUCCACUUGGAGUAACCGGUAAAGUUGCUGGUCACGGGUUCAAGCCUUGGAAACAGCCCCUUACAGAAAUGUAAUGUGAGGCUGCAUGCGUACAAUAUAAUAAAUCCUUUUGAUCGGGCCCUUCCCUCGACCCUACACAUAGUGGGAGCUUAGUGCAUCGAGCUACCCUUUUACUAUCCGAUCUAGUUUUAACGACACUCCUUAUUGUUUCCGUUGUUUGCUAGAUGACUUUGGGUGGUACGAUCUGUUAAAAGUGGCAGUUCAACUUGCAAAUCUCUUACUAUCCUUGCAUGAAAAGGAUGUUAUAUUAGG
rnacentral:lncRNA from 1 species